ensembl:misc_RNA Metazoa_SRP Metazoan signal recognition particle RNA
GUUAUGGAGGCAUGCCCUUGUGGUCCCAGCUACUCUGGAGACUGAAGCAGGAGGAUCGCUUGAGCCCAGGAGUUCUGGGCUGUAGCAUAUUAUGCUGAUCGGGUACUUGUACUAAGUUCAACGUCAAUAUGAUGACUUCCCGGGAGCAGGGGGCCACCGGGUUGCCUAAGGAGAGGUGAACUGGCCCAGAUUCGAAACUGAGAAAGCCCAAACUCCCGAGGUGAUCACUAGUAGAAUACUGACCGUGAAAAACCAGUGCUCCAGCCUGGGCCACAUAGUGAGAUCUUUUCUCA